rnacentral:rRNA from 1 species
AUUGAACGCUGGCGGCAGGCCUAACACAUGCAAGUCGAACGGUAGCAGGAAGAAGCUUGCUUCUUUGCUGACGAGGGGCGGACGGGUGAGUAAUGUCUGGGAAACUGCCUGAUGGAGGGGGAUAACUACUGGAAACGGUAGCUAAUACCGCAUAACGUCGCAAGACCAAAGAGGGGGACAUUCGGGCCUCUUGCCAUCGGAUGUGCCCAGAUGGGAUUAGCUAGUAGGUGGGGUAACGGCUCACCUAGGCGACGAGCCCUAGCUGGUCUGAGAGGAUGACCAGCCACACUGGAACUGAGACACGGUCCAGACUCCUACGGGAGGCAGCAGUGUGGAAUAUUGCACAAAGGGCGCAAGCCUGAUGCAGCCAUGCCGCGUGUAUGAAGAAGGCCUUCGGUUUGUAAAGUACUUUCAGCGGGGAGGAAGGGAGUAAAGUUAAUACCUUUGCUCAUUGACGUUACCCGCAGAAGAAGCACCGGCUAACUCCGUG